AUGGAUCUGUGGAGCUGCACCUCGCCCUCACCUCGCCUCGCGCUCCACCUUGAGCAUUUGGUGGCUGAAAAAGCUUCCAUUUUUGACACAUCCGGUGGCAGAAGUUCCAGAUCAGGCGGUGGAGUUGAAGAUCCGGUGGCGGUGAAGCUCGAUCCAGUGGCGCCGUUGCGGUGGCGAUGCAAUCGUCCGCGACCUCCAGCGUGUCCUCCGGCGCUUCCUGGUGCUCCUCCUCGAUGCCCGUGGUGUUGGCAUGAAGUGGUGACCUCCUCCUCGCCGUGCAUGGACGACGGCGGUGCUCUCUCUGCCGCAACCGCGACAGAGCUGUGUUCUGCAUCGGCUACAACCACUGUUGGUUCACUGAAGUUAUUCUUAUUGCUUCCUGAUGAAUUGCUUCUUCCUCAUCCAGCAACAUCUCGUCUCCUGUUAAAUAAGGAGCAAAGGGUAUGUUUUGGUUACUGA
rnacentral:rRNA from 1 species